CACUGCCCGGUAGCUAAAUGCGGAAGAGAUAAGUGCUGAAAGCAUCUAAGCACGAAACUUGCCCCGAGAUGAGUUCUCCCUGAGACUUAGAGUCUCCUGAAGGAACGUUGAAGACGACGACGUUGAUAGGCCGGGUGUGUAAGCGCAGCGAUGCGUUGAGCUAACCGGUACUAAUGAACCGUGAGGCUUAACCUU
rnacentral:rRNA from 1 species